rnacentral:tRNA from 1 species
AGGAGUAAGAGGAAUCUAAAGGAAGCUGCUAACUAUCCUUUAUAAGCGGUUAAACUCCGUUAUACUCCUU